rnacentral:rRNA from 1 species
UACGUAGGCAGCAAGCGUUGUUCGGAAUUACUGGGCGUAAAGAGUGCGUAGGCGGUGCUCUAAGUCUGGUGUGAAAUCUCCCGGCUCAACUGGGAGGGUGCGCCGGAAACUGGAGUGCUUGAGUGUGGGAGAGGUAAGCGGAAUUCCUGGUGUAGCGGUGAAAUGCGUAGAUAUCAGGAGGAACACCUGUGGUGUAGACAGCUUACUGGACCGUAACUGACGCUGAGACACGAAAGCGUGGGUAGCAAACAGG